GACGAACGCUGGCGGCGUGCUUAACACAUGCAAGUCGAACGGCAAGGCCCUGCUUUUGUGGGGUGCUCGAGUGGCGAACGGGUGAGUAACACGUGAGUAACCUGCCCUUGACUUUGGGAUAACUUCAGGAAACUGGGGCUAAUACCGGAUAGGAGCUCCUGCUGCAUGGUGGGGGUUGGAAAGUUUCGGCGGUUGGGGAUGGACUCGCGGCUUAUCAGCUUGUUGGUGGGGUAGUGGCUUACCAAGGCUUUGACGGGUCGCCGGCCUGAGAGGGUGACCGGCCACAUUGGGACUGAGAUACGGCCCAGACUCCUACGGGAGGCAGCAGUGGGGAAUAUUGCACAAUGGGCGGAAGCCGGAUGCAGCAACGCCGCGUGCGGGAUGACGGCCUUCGGGUUGUAAACCGCUUUCGCCUGUGACGAAGCGUGAGUGACGGUAAUGGGUAAAGAAGCACCGGCUAACUACGUG
rnacentral:rRNA from 1 species